UUACGGUAAUAGCACCUUGAGAUAUCACUUCUUUUCCGAUCACCGAAGUUAAGCAACGUCAAGCCUGGUCAAUACCUAGAUGGGUUACCAGAUGGGAAUACCAGGUGCUGCUAU